rnacentral:lncRNA from 1 species
UCAAUGGGGCUGUACCAGUGGAGGGCACAUGCCCCAUCAUGGUGUUGAGUACCAAGCAGGUGUGCACAGAUAGACAGGUGGCCAAGUAUGGGGCACACAAUACAGUGAAGAUGACCGAGUUGGAGAGGAUAAAGAUUAGGGGUGGAGGAGGAGAUGACUAGAGCUAAGGAAAUGAAAUGAAGACUGACUGAAGUGGUUGAACAUUCUGAAAAACUUAAUACCACAUCUUUCAGGCCAUGUUCUAUCAAUCCUUAUUGACCGAUUGAUUUUAAAAAUAUGGAUUAUGGACUGCAGUGCCAAAGAACCCUCACUGAUCAAUUUGUUUUUUUCACAGGUUCAUGCUCAUGAUGUUUCUAUGGAGUAUGGCCCCUAGCUUAAUAACAUAUAGAUCUAGUCACUACAAUGAUAUUAAAAUUAAGGUGGGUUCAAAUGAUGAAGAACGCUUGCCAUCCAAAUUCUACUUCACUGUCAUUCCUUGAUUCCACAUUUCUUUCAUGUAUACUUUCAGCAGCUCAAAUGAGAAAGAAUGGAUGUAAAUUUUCAAAACCCUGAAUAAGUAUGUGACAAGCUUCAGUUCCACCACGGGAGAAGCAAGUAUUAAG